AGAGUUUGAUCCUGGCUCAGGAUGAACGCUGGCGGCGUGCAUCAUACAUGCAAGUCGAACGAGAAUUUGGAGCUUGCUCCGAAGGAAAGUGGCGGACGGGUGAGUAAUACAUAGGGAAUCUGCCCUUAGCCGGGGGACAACAGUUGGAAACGACUGCUAAUACCGCAUAUGAGAUAUGUUGAGAUACAUAUUUUGAAAACUCCGGUGGCUAAGGAUGAGCCUGUGCCUGAUUAGCUUGUUGGCGGUGUAAUAGACCACCAAGGCGACGAUCAGUAGCUGGUUUGAGAGGAUGAUCAGCCACAAUGGGACUGAGACACGGCCCAUACUCCUACGGGAGGCAGCAGUAGGGAAUUUUGCGCAAUGGGGGAAACCCUGACGCAGCAACGCCGCGUGUGUGAAGAAGUCCUUAGGGAUGUAAAGCACUGUCAGUAGGGACGAAAUAUGACGGUACCUGCAGAGGAAGCACCGGCUAACUCCGUGCCAGCAGCCGCGGUAAUACGGGGGGUGCAAGCGU
rnacentral:rRNA from 1 species